rnacentral:misc_RNA from 1 species
GAUGAAGAACGUAGCGAAAUGCGAUGAGUAAUGUGAAUUGCAGAAUUCAGUGAAUCAUCGAAUCUUUGAACGCACCUUGCGCCCUUUGGCCAUUCCGAAGGGCAUGCCUGUUUGAGUAUCAUGAACACCUCAACUCUUCAUGGUUUUCCAUGAUGAGCUUGGACUUUGGGGGUCUUGCUGGCCUGUGGGUCGGCUCCUCUCAAAUGAAUCAGCUUGCCGGUUUUUGGUGGGCAUCACAGGUGUGAUAACUAUCUACGCUUGUGGUUUUCCACCAGGGUAACCUUCAGCAGUGGAGGUUCACUGGAGCUUACAAAUGUCUCUCCUCUGUGAGGACAGCCCUUUGAAUGUUUGAUCUCAAAUCAGGUAGGACUACCCGCUGAACUUAAGCAUAUCAAUAAGCGGAGGA